GUCGAGCGAGCCUUCGGGCUAGCGGCGGACGGGUGAGUAACACGUGGGAAUAUGCCCUGUACUAAGGAAUAGCCACUGGAAACGGUGAGUAAUACCUUAUACGCCCUUCGGGGGAAAGAAUUUCGGUAUAGGAUUAGCCCGCGUCUGAUUAGAUAGUUGGUGGGGUAACGGCCUACCAAGUCGACGAUCAGUAGCUGGUUUGAGAGGAUGAUCAGCCACACUGGGACUGAGACACGGCCCAGACUCCUACGGGAGGCAGCAGUGAGGAAUAUUGGACAAUGGGCGCAAGCCUGAUCCAGCCAUGCCGCGUGAUUGAUGAAGGCUUAGGUUGUAAAGAUCUUUCAUAGUGAAGAUAAUGACGUACUAUAGAAGAAGCUCGCUAACUCCGUGCGCAGCCGCGGUAAUAC
rnacentral:rRNA from 1 species